UACAGCGGGUGCGAGCGUUAAUCGGAAUUACUGGGCGUAAAGGGUGCGUAGGUUGUUGCAUAAGUUAGGUGUGAAAGUCCCGGGCUUAACCUGGGGAUUGCGCCUGAUACUGUGUAGCUAGAGUACUGUAGAGGAAGGUGGAAUUUCCAGUGUAGCGGUGAAAUGCGUAGAUAUUACAUGGAAUACCAAUUGCGAAGGCAGGUUACUACUAAUGGAUUGACGCUGAUGGACGAAAGCGUGGGGAGCGAACAGG
rnacentral:rRNA from 1 species